AUAUCAAUAAGCGGAGGAAAAGAAACCAACAGGGAUUGCCUCAGUAACGGCGAGUGAAGCGGCAACAGCUCAAAUUUGAAAUCUGGCCCCCAGGGUCCGAGUUGUAAUUUGUAGAGGAUGCUUUUGGUGAGGUGCCUUCCGAGUUCCCUGGAACGGGACGCCAUAGAGGGUGAGAGCCCCGUCUGGUUGGACACCGAGCCUCUGUAAAGCUCCUUCGACGAGUCGAGUAGUUUGGGAAUGCUGCUCUAAAUGGGAGGUAUAUGUCUUCUAAAGCUAAAUAUUGGCCAGAGACCGAUAGCGCACAAGUAGAGUGAUCGAAAGAUGAAAAGCACUUUGAAAAGAGGGUUAAAAAGUACGUGAAAUUGUUGAAAGGGAAGCGCUCAUGACCAGACUUGGGCUUGGCGAAUCAUCCAGCGUUCUCGCUGGUGCACUUCGCCUCGUUCAGGCCAGCAUCAGUUUGUCCCGGGGGAUAAAAGCUUCGGGAACGUGGCUGCUUCGGCAGUGUUAUAGCCCGCUGCAUAAUACCCUGGGGUGGACUGAGGUUCGCGCUCCGCAAGGAUGCUGGCGUAAUGGUCAUCAGCGACCCGUCUUGAAACACGGACCAAGGAGUCGUCUUCGUAUGCGAGUGUUCGGGUGUCAAACCCCUACGCGUAAUGAAAGUGAACGCAGGUGAGAGCUUCGGCGCAUCAUCGACCGAUCCUGAUGUUCUCGGAUGGAUUUGAGUAAGAGCAUACGGGGCCGGACCCGAAAGAAGGUGAACUAUGCCUGUAUAGGGUGAAGCCAGAGGAAACUCUGGUGGAGGCUCGCAGCGGUUCUGACGUGCAAAUCGAUCGUCAAAUAUGGGCAUGGGGGCGAAAGACUAAUCGAA
rnacentral:rRNA from 1 species